rnacentral:rRNA from 1 species
CCAAUAGCGUAUAUUAAAGUUGUUGCAGUUAAAAAGCUCGUAGUUGAAUUUCGGGACCAAUUUGUUGGUCGUGCCUCGGUACGUACUGGUAUUAUUGGUUUCUCCCUUCUGAAGAACCUUGAUGUCAUUAAUUUGGUGUCUUGGGGAAUCAGGACUGUUACUUUGAAAAAAUUAGAGUGUUUAAAGCAGGCAUACGCUUGAAUACAUUAGCAUGGAAUAA